rnacentral:piRNA from 1 species
UUAAAGAUGCUUGAUAAAUUAUUAGG